UGACAAUUAAGCCUUAUAUGUCACAGUGUGAAGUAGGGACACAGGCACUCGGUGCACAGCUGCUGUAAACCAGCCAGAACCAGUCCAUGGUCGGUGACCUCAACAGGAGACAGGUAUUGAAAUCAGCCCCUUGUCAAUCAAAGCUAUAGUUAUGGCUGGUGGAGCAGGCGGUCAGUCCACGUUUCAUGAUUGAAAAACUGAGAAAGCAGUACUGGAAUCCCACAAGCCCCACACCACUUUCUGAUGCCGUGAACGUUUUUCCUGGUGUGGUGCAUCUGCCUCAGUCAUAGAAGCAGUGUUGGUAAUCAGCAUCGUGGAGGCGGCGUCAGUGGUCAGCGUCGUGGAGGUGGCGUCGGUGGUCAGCAUCGUGGAGGCCAGGUCAGUGGUCAGCGUCGUGGAGGUGGCAUCGGUAGUCAGUGUGGUGGAGGCAGCGUUGGUAAUCAGCGUUGUGGAGGCCACGUUGGUAGAGUCAUGGAGGCAGUGUCGGUAAUCAGCGUUGUGGAGGCAGCGUCGUUAGUCAGCGUCAUGGAGGCGGCGUUGGUGGUCACUGUCGUGGAGGCCACGUUGAUAGCAUCAUGGAGGCAGCGUCGGUAGUCAGCGUCGUGGGGGCGGCGUCGGUAGUCAGCGUCGUGGAGGCAGUGUCGGUAGCGUCGUGGA
rnacentral:lncRNA from 1 species